AUCUUGCUGGAGAUCCCUCUGUAUGUGAGGCCUUCUGAAGAAGUGUUUCCCCCCACCUUGGGAAUGCCAACUCCUGCCUGGCGGACAGCUGCCGGGAGCACACGGUUCCUCAUCUGUGCAUCAACUACAGCUUCAUGCAGAGGCAAACAGGCUUCCUCUUGUUCCUUAUCAGGCCUUGGUGCCCUGUCCUACCUGCUGCCUUCCUGACCUGCUGUUUGUAUUCAGUAGCCACAUCUCUGGCUCAACCUCCCGCACCUCCCUGCGCAGGCAGCUGCUGGUGUUGUGCUUUCCCUGGGGCUGUGCCUGGGGUGCAGCUUCAUUAUUCAGAGCCUCAGACGUGGGUGAUGCACUGUGACGGUCCUGUGAUCAACCCUGGCCCUGAACUACCUUGUGUUUUCUUGUACUACUUGCACUUUUGGAGCUAAGAUACUUUGAAACUCUGAGUAACUGAGUGAUGAGAGGUGUUUUUUUUUUUUUUCUAUUUUUUUCUCCCCCCCCGCCCUCUGCAAGGAGUUUCACUCUGUUCCUUCAGCUCAGCUAUCCUGAGUGGAAUCCGGACCAGACUCUGUCCCAGGUGUCCUCCUUCAGAGACACCUUCUGUUAUUAUGUGGCCCAAAGUGAAUAAUAUUGGAGAAGGCUGGAGGCCAGAAGAUUUCUUUCCUCCAGCAUAGCCACGUAUACUGUGAAAACAUCUUUCCAGCACCUAAUACUUGGAUAAUUCUCCUCCUUAAUGCCUCAAAGCUUUGCUCACCUUGCUGGCUGCCUGAACUCAAGCUGCCUGCCUCUCCUUCCAGGAUGCCAGCCAGGAAAUUAUUACAGCACAAUUUAAAGACCAUAAAAUAUGGGAUGAGCAGAUGGCAGGUCACUCUUCCUUCCCAUGAACAGCCUAUGUCACCGUGGCACUGCUGUAGCACGUUCUGAGUCACACUCACAGCUCAAGCAGGGGCUGUCUCUGGCGGAGAUGUCUGUCAGAGCAGCAGCCUGGCACUGCAGACCUUACGACUGUGACAAGGAAUCUGGGCACUG
ensembl:lncRNA